AUGGCGCAGAGGGCGGCGGGCGCGCUUCUGCGGCGGUCCCUCGGGCUCGCGCCGCCGACGGUCCCCAGGGCCCUGAGCACCAGCGCCGCGGCGCCGGCCGCGGCCGAGGGAGAGGCGGCGGCCAAGGCGAAGAGGAGCAAGAAGAAGAACCUGUUCGACGUGGUGCAGUUCCUGCCGGACUGGGGCGUCGGCUACAAGGUCGCCAAGACCACCUGGCGCGACGUCUCCUACCAGAUCACCAAGAUCAACCUCUACAAGGAUGGCCGCCACGGGAAGGCGUGGGGGAUUCGGCACAAGGCCGGUGUGCAAGUUGCUGACGCUCCAAUAAAACUCAGCGGAGUGAACAAGCGUGGGUGGAAGUACAUAAAGACGUCAGAGAAGACGGUGCAGGAUAUCCCCGCAGCAGAGACGCCAGCUGCUGCCACCUCCACUGCUUAA
rnacentral:rRNA from 1 species